ACGGGGGCGCAGCAGGCGCGAUAACUUUACAAUGCGGGAAACCGUGUUAAGGGAACACCGAGUGCCAGCAUCAUAUGCUGGCUGUCCAGAUGUGUAAACUACAUCUGUUAGCAAGGGCCGGGCAAGACCGGUGCCAGCCGCCGCGGUAACACCGGCGGCCCGAGUGGUGACCGUUAUUAUUGGGUCUAAAGGGUCCGUAGCCGGUUUGNUCAGUCCUCCGGGAAAUCUGAUAGCUUAACUAUUAGACUUUCGGGGAUACUGCCAGGCUUGGAACCGGGAGAGGUAAGAGGUACUACAGGGGUAGGAGUGAAAUCUUGUAAUCCACUGUGAGACACACACUGUGGCGAAGGCGUCUUACCAGAACGGGUUCGACGGUGAGGGACGAAAGCUGGGGGCCACGAACCCCGGAAUUUUAGAUACCCGGGUAGUCCCAGCCGUAAACUAUGCUCGCUAGGUGUCAGGCAUGGCGCGACCGUGUCUGGUGCCGCAGGAAGCCGUGAAGCGAGCCACCUGGGAAGUACGGCCGCAAGGCUGAAACUUAAAGGAAUUGGCGGGGGAGCACAACAACGGGUGGAGCCUGCGGUUUAAUUGGACUCAACGCCGGACAACUCACCGGGAACGACAGCAAUAUGUAGGCCAGGCUGAAGACCUUGCCUGAAUCGCUGAGAGGAGGUGCAUGGCCGUCGUCAGUUCGUACUGUGAAGCAUCCUGUUAAGUCAGGCAACGAGCAAGACCCACGCCAACAGUUGCCAGCAUGGUCUCCGGACUGAUGGGGACACUGUUGGGACCGCCUCUGCUAAAGAGGAGGAAGGAAUGGGCAACGGUAGGUCAGCAUGCCCCGAAUUAUCCGGGCUACACGCGGGCUACAAUGGGCAGGACAAUGGGCAUCGACACCGAAAGGUGAAGGCAAUCUCCUAAACCUGUCCUUAGUUCGGAUUGUGGGCUGCAACUCGCCCACAUGAAGCUGGAAUCUGUAGUAAUCGCGUUUCAAAAUAACGCGGUGAAUUUGUCCCUGCUCCUUGCACACACCGCCCGUCAAACCACCCGAGUGGGGUUUGGAUGAGGUUGCGGUUGUUGCCGCAGUCGAAUCUAGUUCCGCAAGGGGGGUUAAGUCGUAACAAGGUAGCCGUAAAUCGAUUCCCGCGGCC
rnacentral:rRNA from 1 species